AAGUCGUAACAAGGUUUCCGUAGGUGAACCUGCGGAAGGAUCAUUCAAGUGAAUCUUUAAAACUUCAUACCCCAAUGUGAACCAUUAGUUACAGUGCCUGUUUUUUCUGGGUUUUUCUUUUGUUGGCUGCGUUUUCUUUCAUUAUCCUAGCCGUAAUUCUAGCACUUUUAAGUUCAGAGAAAACGGAAGAAGGAAGUAAAAUGCUACCUAAAAUAUAGUAUACCUUUUGUACCCACAACAACAUACUUCUAAUAGGGUGAAGACCUUUGAAAAAAAUACUUUAAACAAUUUACAACUAUUAACGGUGGAUCCCUCGGCUCUCA
rnacentral:misc_RNA from 1 species